AUCCUGGCUCAGGACGAACGCUGGCGGCGUGCUUAACACAUGCAAGUCGAACGAUGAAGCCCUUCGGGGUGGAUUAGUGGCGAACGGGUGAGUAACACGUGGGCAAUCUGCCCUGCACUCUGGGACAAGCCCUGGAAACGGGGUCUAAUACCGGAUACUGAUCGCCUUGGGCAUCCUUGGUGAUCGAAAGCUCCGGCGGUGCAGGAUGAGCCCGCGGCCUAUCAGCUUGUUGGUGAGGUAAUGGCUCACCAAGGCGACGACGGGUAGCCGGCCUGGGAGGGCGACCGGCCACACUGGGACUGAGACACGGCCCAGACUCCUACGGGAGGCAGCAGUGGGG
rnacentral:rRNA from 1 species